rnacentral:rRNA from 1 species
CGAACACUGGCGGCAUGGAUUAGGCAUGCAAGUCGAACGAGAACGCUCUCUUCGGAGAGUUAGUACAGUGGCGAACGGGUGAGUAACGGGUGGAAAACCUGCCCUUCAAUGGGGGAUAACGGUUCUAACGAACCGCUAAUACCGCAUACGACCUUUUUUUCGCAUGGGAAAAAGGUGAAAGAUGGCCUCUUCUUGAAAGCUGUCGUUGAAGGAUGGUUCCGCCUCCCAUUAGCUAGUUGGUGGGGUAAUGGCCUACCAAGGCGACGAUGGGUAGCCGGCCUGAGAGGGUGUCCGGCCACACUGGGACUGAGAUACGGCCCAGACUCCUACGGGAGGCAGCAGUCGAGAAGCUUCGGCAAUGGGCGAAAGCCUGACCGAGCGAUGCCGCGUGAGUGAAGAAGGUCCUAUGGAUUGUAAAGCUCUGUCAGAUUGGGAAGAACGCUUUGCGGUUAAUACCCGUGAAGUUUGACGGUACCAUCAGAGGAAGCACCGGCUAACUCC